GGAAUGAGCGUGUUGGAAAAGAA
rnacentral:miRNA from 1 species